UACUGUGAUACAGUGGCCUAAUUCUUAGC
rnacentral:piRNA from 1 species